rnacentral:rRNA from 1 species
CCUACGGGAGGCAGCAGUGAGGAAUAUUGGUCACUGGACGAGAGUCUGAACCAGCCAAGUAGCGUGAAGGAUGACUGCCCUAUGGGUUGUAAACUUCUUUUAUAUGGGAAUAAAACAGGGUAUGCAUACCCUCUUGUAUGUACCAUAUGAAUAAGGAUCGUCUAACUCCGUGCCAGCAGCCGCGGUAAUACGGAGGAUCCGAGCUUUAUCCGGAUUUCUUGGAUUUAAAGGGAGCGUAGGGGGAUUGUUAAGUCAGUUGUGAAAGUUUGCGGCUCAACCGGAAAAUUGCAGUUGAAACUGGCAGGCUUGAGUACAGUAGAGGUGGGCGGAAUUCGUGGUGUAGCGGUGAAAUGCUUAGAUAUCACGAAGAACUCCGAUUGCGAAGGCAGCUCACUGGACUGCAACUGACACUGAUGCUCGAAAGUGUGGGUAUCAAACAGGAUUAGAUACCCGAGUAGUC